CGGAUUGUCAACAGAAAUGAGAUUUUCGACAAGCCGGAAAAAUUAUUACACACACACUGGCUGAAAUCUUUUCAACACCAACUGUGCCAUAUAAAGCAAUGGCUCUCACUAGGGCAGAGAAAAUGGAGUGAGGAGAUGUGAAAAAAAAUGAUGAUCAAACGAGCUUUGAUCGAACUCUGGUGGCCAAAGAAGCAACCACCUCCCACCAAAUGAUAGUAAUUGAUGAGUGAAAUCUCAUGAGCAGAGGUUUGAGGAUAAAUGAAAAAGAGACAAAUUAGGGUUCUUGUGAAUUCUUAUAUCUACGACUCAACGAGCUAUGGUGGUUUUCUAGGAAAAUUGAUGAGGGAUUAGGAUUGAGGAAGGUGUGGGGACUGCGUGGUACCAUUUUGGGUAUGAUUGGAGAUGG
rnacentral:lncRNA from 1 species